rnacentral:rRNA from 1 species
CGGCAACAGCUCAAAUUUGAAAUCUGGCCUCUCGGGGUCCGAGUUGUAAUUUGUAGAGGAUGUUUUGGGUACCGCCCCGGUCUAAAUUUCUUGGAACAGGACGUCACAGAGGGUGAGAAUCCCGUACGUGGCCGCCGGUCUUCACCGUGUAAAGCCCCUUCGAC